CUGCUAAUACCNCANANUGUCUANGGACNAAAGGGGGCNUCGGCUCUCGCCUUUNGAUUGGCCCAAGUGGNAUUAGCNAGNUGGUGAGGUAAUGGCUCACCAAGGCGACGAUCCCUAGCUGGNUUGAGAGGAUGAUCANCCACACUGGGANUGAGACACGGCCCANANUCCUNNGGGAGGCAGCAGUGGGGAAUAUUGCACAAUGGGCGCAAGCCUGAUGCAGCCAUGCCGCGUGUGUGAAGAAGGCCUUCGGGUUGUAAAGCACUUUCAGUCAGGAGGAAAGGUUAGUANUUAAUACCUGCUAGCUGUGACGUUACUGACAGAAGAAGCACCGGCUAACUCCGUGCCAGCAGCCGCGGUAAUACGGAGGGUGCGAGCGUUAAUCGGAAUUACUGGGCGUAAAGCGUACGCAGGCGGUUUGUUAAGCGAGAUGUGAAAGCCCCGGGCUCAACCUGGGAACUGCAUUUCGAACUGGCAAACUAGAGUGUGAUAGAGGGUGGUAGAAUUUCAGGUGUAGCGGUGAAAUGCGUAGAGAUCUGAAGGAAUACCGAUGGCGAAGGCAGCCACCUGGGUCAACACUGACGCUCAUGUACGANAGCGUGNGGAGCANACAGGAUUAGAUACNCUGGUAGUCCACGCCGUANACGAUGUCUACUAGAAGCUCGGAACCUCGGUUCUG
rnacentral:rRNA from 1 species